AUGAGCCGAGUAGGGUCCGAAGAACGAUAUGGUUUGAGCAAAGUAUAAUCCAGCGAAGGACGAGUAGGCAAUGGUGGAAGAAGCGCCAUUGUUGGAAGCGAAAAAUAUAUGAAGAAGAACGUAAAAGACAAAGAGGAGAAGAAGAGGAAAAGAUAGAAGAGACAAAAAGAAACUUAGGAAGAAAGAAAAGGCCACCCGUCACACCAGUUAUGAGUUCCGAGGUCGGCUAUAAUGAUGAAUGGACGGCGGUAAUUAAGAUGACCUAAUUAAUGCCGUAUAUGAGACAAAAUUGAGAAUGUGAU
rnacentral:lncRNA from 1 species